rnacentral:misc_RNA from 1 species
GAUGAAGAACGCAGCGAAAUGCGAUAAGUAAUGUGAAUUGCAGAAUUCAGUGAAUCAUCGAAUCUUUGAACGCACAUUGCGCCCCUUGGUAUUCCGAGGGGCAUGCCUAUUCGAGCGUCAUUAUCACCCCUCAAGCUCCGGCUUGGUGUUGAGGCCUGCUGUAAAGGCACCCUCUAAAAUCAGUGGCAGUGCUGUCAGGCUCUAAGCGUAGUAAUUCUCUCGCUACAGGGUCCCGGUGGACACUCGCCAGAACCCCCCCAUUUUUUAAUGAUUGACCUCGGAUUAGGUAGGGAUACCCGCUGAACUUAAGCAUAUCAAUAAGCGGAGA